rnacentral:lncRNA from 1 species
GCUUGAUCAAUACGACUGUUUAGUACUUUGAGACUUGUUCAACCCGAGACUGGUCCAAAUUAGUUAAAAUGAUAAGGGUAUUACACCGGCUUAGGAUUCCUAGACCGAAGCACAACACAAGUGGUGUAAUUAAAGAAAGGAAAACUACACUCAAUGACGUCACCAAGGAUCGAUUUCACCUUCGGGACUUGGGUUAAUUUCGGUCUGGACUGAAAUAUUGGUACAAAUCGGUUUAGAAAAUAUUACAUAAGACGGAAUCGAAACCCAUUUUUUUCUCGGACUGAUUCUCAACACUAAUAUUCACUCUAUUUGUACUUAUGUAUGAUAUAGGUAUUCAUUUUGACAUAGGUAAAUUGUAAUAUACACAAUACCAUAAUAAAAUAAUGUUUAAAUCUUAAUAAUUGUCAAUAAAAUAUGCAUUUCUCAAAAA